rnacentral:rRNA from 1 species
GUAGGGGGCGAGCGUUGUCCGGAUUUAUUGGGCGUAAAGAGCUCGUAGGCGGUUGCGUAAGUCGGAUGUGAAAACUCAGGGCUCAACCCUGAGAUGCCAUUCGAUACUGCGCUGACUCGAGUCCGGUAGGGGAGCAUGGAAUUCCUGGUGUAGCGGUGAAAUGCGCAGAUAUCAGGAGGAACACCAGUGGCGAAGGCGGUGCUCUGGGCCGAUACUGACGCUGAGGAGCGAAAGCAUGGGUAGCAAACAGGAUUAGAUACCCUGGUAGUCCCAUGCCCGUAAACGUUGGGCACUAGGUGUGGGGCCCACUUAACGGGUUCCGUGCCGUAGCUAACGCAUUAAGUGCCCCCGCCUGGGGAGUACGGCCGCAAGGCUA